AGGAGGGCAGUCCUUUGAGGGGAAGACAGUAGCAAGUGUACUAUUAAAGAUAAUGGUCCUUCAGGAGGACCCAGCAAGUUAGGGAGAUGGCAUGACAGUAACUCUUGUCCAGGCUUAUGUCCUGGCAUAGCAAAGGCUGGCUGUGCCUAGUGCUGAUUUUCUCCUGCCUGGGGUGGUGGGGACAGGCUGAGGCAGGGGUUGGUUGCAGGAGGCAGGAUGGUUCAUGUACGGCCAAAAAGCAUCACCACACCUGAGCCAGGUGAGUGCAGUGCCUUGCAGCCAGGAGAGUGGUGCAGGCCUCAGAUUUACGAACCUUUAUUCUUGUUUCUGUUUGCACACUAGGAGCAGUUCUUAAAGUUGAGUUUUUCCAACCCCCUCCGGCCAUCGGCUUCUGUUCCUGCCUGUUUGUCUGCCUCCUGUGAAGAUAUAGAACAGUGGAGCUGCUCCGAUCUCUCCCCUGGCUGCAGGGCUGUCCCUGGAGGUGAUUUCCACUUAGACUUGUCGUUCAGCUCCCAAGCCGGAAACAGUUCCAGUCCGAACAGCCCCACACAGGGAGCCCAGUACAGAGUCAGAGAGUAAAGAGGAGCAACCAGGCCAGCAAGUUCUGAGGGGCUGGGAAAUACGACUGUAAAAACAUGGCUUUACCAGGGUAGAAGGGAAGCACCUACAGGCGUACCCUCUCCCUGGCCAUGCCUGGGGCCAAGCUGGCUCUCAGCUGUUCUUGCAGCAUGACCGCCCCAGGGAGUUUUGCACCGCAGUGUUGUGAAGGAUGCUGCACUGUCUGUGAAGCAGAGGGAGAUGACAGCUGCUUUUGCCACUCCCAGAAGAAAAACUGAGGCUGGUGGAAGUUCAGACCUGACUGUGAUGUGCCCUGUGAGGAAGGGGAGUCAGAGGAAACACUGAUGCCCUUGAAGUUGACAAGACCACUGACAAGGGAGCGGUCUCUCACUGGGAUCUACUGAGGAUGUGAUCCACAUGAUGCAGGUGGAGAACAUGCCACCAUCUCUGGCAGCAUUAGCAGCACUGACAAACUGAGGAGAACAAGCCACAUGAUGGCUGAGGGUCAUUGACCAGUGAAUGCUGGAAGUAUUCAUCUGAACCAACAGCCCCAGAGUGUUCACACACUUGGGGUCAAGACUCAGUUUUAAAUCUCAUGGUGUUUAGAGAAGCUUUAGACCAUGCCACCUCCCAAAGGCCCCAGAACCACCAGUUAUGGGAAAAAGACAAUGUUUUGAAAGCUUGGGGUGUUUAAGGCACACUCAGACCUUCAGAUGUGUCCCGCAAAUGAUCUUCAAAAGCUACACAGCAUCAACGAUACUCUGAAAAUGCUGCUCUGAUCUGAAGAAACUCCACUUGUUCUCUGCCUGUUUCUCCUGUGUCUUGUCUGCAGAGCAGCUGAUCCAGAUGUGCUAUUCAAGAUAAAAGGGUGCAUCAGCUCCAGAUGGGAUGAGAUCCAGAGUAUUCCAUGUGGGUUUAUAAUAGCUCUCCUGAUUACACAGAACAGAUAUGGACCAGCAUGGAUUUCUCUUCACCAAGGGCUUAUUCUGCAUUCUGGGUAAGCAAGUAUAGCAACCUGACUGCUUCUGUAUCCCCAAAACAUGUGUCUGGAUACCUGUUUUCACCUGGAGGGGUCAAUAAAGGUGAGCAGGUCGCCAGCUAAGGCGCCACGAUGUCCAUCCAUCUCCCCUCGGCCACUGUUUUGUAGUCUCAUGUACAGAGCUGGAGCUGCAGGAAUUAAUGCUUGUGCAAUGGAUGUUUGAGCCUCAGGGAGGUCUCGGUCUCCUGUCUAAGCAGAAAAAAUGUCAGGUUUUAAAAUACUUCACAACCAUUUGUAACUUUCUCCAAAGAGAGUCUUGUGGCUUCCGUUUCACCAGUUAAUACAGACUGCAAUUUCCCAUUACAGGAAUAAUAUAAAAUACAAUACAGUAGAACUGAGAGCAAAAUGGUAUUCUGAGGGCUUUUUCCGUCUGUAUGUAAUACACUGCUUCUGCUUUUUUCCCCCUUGCAUUUUCUUUUUUGUUUGUUUGGGGUUUUUUUG
rnacentral:lncRNA from 1 species